CAGCCGCCGCGGUAAUACAGAGGGUGCAAGCGUUAAUCGGAAUUACUGGGCGUAAAGCGCGCGUAGGUGGUUUGUUAAGUUGGAUGUGAAAUCCCCGGGCUCAACCUGGGAACUGCAUCCAAAACUGGCAAGCUAGAGUAUGGUAGAGGGUGGUGGAAUUUCCUGUGUAGCGGUGAAAUGCGUAGAUAUAGGAAGGAACACCAGUGGCGAAGGCGACCACCUGGACUGAUACUGACACUGAGGUGCGAAAGCGUGGGGAGCAAACAGGAUUAGAUACCCCAGUAGUCCCUGUCUCUUAUAA
rnacentral:rRNA from 1 species